UGGGGAAUUUUGGACAAUGGGGGAAACCCUGAUCCAGCCAUCCCGCGUGUGCGAUGAAGGCCUUCGGGUUGUAAAGCACUUGGCAGGAAAGAAACGUAAUGGGUUAAUACCCCGUGAAACUGACGGUACCUGCAGAAUAAGCACCGGCUAACUACGUGCCAGCAGCCGCGGUAAUACGUAGGGUGCAAGCGUUAAUCGGAAUUACUGGGCGUAAAGCGUGCGCAGGCGGUUCGGAAAGAAAGAUGUGAAAUCCCAGAGCGCAACUUUGGACCUGCAUUUUUAACUACCGGGCUAGAGUGUGUCAGAGGUAGGAAGAAUUCCUCGUGUAGCAGUGAAGUGCGUAGAUAUGCGGAGGAACACCGAUGGCGAAGGCAGCCUCCUGGGAUAACACUGACACUCAUGCACGAAAGCGUGGUGAGCAAACAGG
rnacentral:rRNA from 1 species